ensembl:lncRNA
GAUGAGAUGACCAAAUUCUGCGAGUGUGGGGACACCCUACACUUCUGCCCCGCACCCACUGCUAAGAUGCUCAGACUUCUGCAGGAAUAUGUUCAUAGUCACUCUUGGACUUUUGAUGAGAUCAAAGGAACUGGCGUGUUUCCUCUUCUCAGAUAACAGCUGCUGCAGCCAUCCUGAUGCCAGCCUCAGGAGGAAGCCAAUUCAAAAAACUGGGCAAAGAUGAGAGAAACACAGAGAAGUGCUUUGGAUAAAGACACUUGGUUAAGCCAUUGUUGAAGACCACCCUGCCCCUGGCCUUCCAGGCAUCAGCCAAGCAGUAUACCUGCUUGUAUGUUUCAAGUUGGAUAUAUAUUCAAGCUUUGUGAAGGAGAAGAAUGUGCAUGUUGAGGAAGAAAAAGUCAGACGGACAUGGAGAGAAACAUACAAUAUUGGGGAGCAAUCCAGGAGGAGUGUAGUGUGUUAAACAAGACUCUUUCGAUGGCUGAGUUUUGUUGUUAGGGCAGAUGAGUAUUUAACAAGAAGGUAUCUUUUUGAAGAAGAGUGUUUUCUACUUUUCCAUUUCUACACUUUAUAAGAUAAAGCUUUUGCUAUUAAAAAAAGCAUAACAUCAAAAUAAAAACAAGAGUUAAUAUGUAAUUUUAAAAGCUGUAUUUGCAGAGAUUUUUUUUUGAGCUAUGUAUUAUUUCAUCAUACUAGUGGAGACAAACCAAAUUUCAUUAAUGUGGUGGAAUCUUUUUAUUUAUAAAUAUUAUCCCAUCUUGUCCCAGAAAGGACUGGAGUGGCAGCAUUUGAUUAUUUCAUUGGAAUAAUAGCUUAUCACAAUCAAGAAAAAGUUUUUGUUAAAUGUUUAUCUUGUUUCUCGUGAUGCCAAGUGAAAAGAAAUUAUGAAUUUCACAGAAACUUUUACAUUUCAAAAGUUUGUAAUUCUUCUAAAGAGAAUGCAUUAUAUAAAAAUGUUAGUUUUGGCUUUCCAAACUUUUACUGAUUUUGUUAGCCUUCUUAUAGAAAAAGCAUGGAAGUCUUUUUAAAUUGACAUUUGAUUUUCGAAGUCCAAGAAAAAGUUAAAAUAAACAAAUAGAAAGGGAGAUGGAAUCUGCACUAUCUUCCUAUGGAGAAGAGUGAGCUGAGCAAUGAACUGCAAACCCAUUGCCUUGGGAUCUAAAAUACAGGACGUCAAGCCCCAGCCAGCGCCGCUGAAUAGAGCCAGUGCUGCGGCUCCGUGUGCGUCAGAUCCCUCCGCGGCCGUGCCGGCGCCCUCCCUCCCGCGAUCGGCCUCCACAGAGAAAGCGCCUUCCAGCCAACCCGCGGCUCCGGCUCCGACAUCUUCUCCGCCUGGAAAUAAAUAAAUAAAUCGCGCCUCCGGACGGGGAGGCGGGGGCGCGGGCCUGGCCGCGCCGGGGCGGGCGCGCCGGGGCACGGG